rnacentral:rRNA from 1 species
GAUGAACGCUGGCGGCGUGCCUAAUACAUGCAAGUCGAGCGAACAGACGAGGAGCUUGCUCCUCUGACGUUAGCGGCGGACGGGUGAGUAACACGUGGAUAACCUACCUAUAAGACUGGGAUAACUUCGGGAAACCGGAGCUAAUACCGGAUAAUAUAUUGAACCGCAUGGUUCAAUAGUGAAAGACGGUUUUGCUGUCACUUAUAGAUGGAUCCGCGCCGCAUUAGCUAGUUGGUAAGGUAACGGCUUACCAAGGCAACGAUGCGUAGCCGACCUGAGAGGGUGAUCGGCCACACUGGAACUGAGACACGGUCCAGACUCCUACGGGAGGCAGCAGUAGGGAAUCGUCCGCAAUGGGCGAGAGCCUGACGGAGCAACGCCGAGUGAGUGAUGAAGGUCUUCGGAUCGUAAAACUCUGUUAUUAGUGAAGAACAAAUGUGUAAGUAACUAUGCACGUCUUGACGGUACCUAAUCAGAAAGCCACGGCUAACUACGUG